UGUCCCCGCGGAGAGCGGCGCACGUGGGGAGAGGAUGCCCGAAGCGACGGGCGUGUGGCGCGGCGGGAGACGCGUCUAAGCCUGACCCCACAUCUGUUAUGCGCCCCCCGGACACUAAGAAAAUAGUGAAGGAUAAGACCUCAGCACCUGCCCGCUCAGGGCUUGCCAUUUAGCCGGGAAGACUCGGCCUGUGGAGGAGCAUCGCCAGAAAGUGGGGAGUCUGGGUCUUAAACACGCCAGCUCCAGCUUGGUGCCUGGGAUAGAUGAAUGCAUAAUAAGUGUUACCAGAAACCCACUACCACAGAGGAUCUUGAAAGUGCUAUAAAUGCUGAAGUUGUUUCCAAGAGAGGUGUUCCAAAGGCGUUUUGAGUGAUCACAGCAUCACUGGACAAAGUAUCCAAUCUCUUAAGGUGAACACUUUGAAGGAAGCAGGUCUCAUUUGGAUAUAAAUUCUGGUCUGCUUGUUAACUGAUGCGUCACGUCAGGGCUUGGUCACACCUCGUCCAUAUGAAAAGUCUGCAGCGCAGGACAGUGGGCAGGUGCAGAAUGACGCACAAACGGCCACACCGUGCGGCAUGGAGGAUAUUAGUUCCCCCACCGGGGACCGAAGUGGAAGCACGGAGUGCUAACCACGGGACGGCCAGGGAAGUCCCAAUCCUGUUUGUUUUUUUUUUUAAUUUUUAUUUUAUAUUAGAGUAUAGCUGAUUUACAAUGCUGUGUCCUGCUUUUGAAAAAUAAAUGGAAAAGUAUCUUACAGGAUUGAACCCACGCCCUCAGCAGUGAAAGCGCAGUCCUAAGAACUGCACCGCCUCGGAAUUCCCUCUAUUUGCUUUUUUUUCCUUAAGAAGACUCUUCACUCCAUACCACCUGAACUGCAUCUUGUGGGGUUUUUUUGUUUUUUUUGUUUUUUGUUUUUUUUUGCGGUACGCAGGCCUCUCACCGUUGUGGCCUCUCCCGCUGCAGAGCACAGGCUCCGGACGCGCAGGCCCAGCGGCCAUGGCUCACGGGCCCAGCCGCUCUGCGGCACGUGGGAUCCUCCCGGACCGGGGCACGAACCCGUGUCCCCUGCAUCGGCAGGCGGACCCCCAACCACUGUGCCACCAGGGAAGCCCCAUCUUGUGUUUUGAAGGACAAAACAGACCAACCUUUAUCAAAGCUGGAGUCUUUCAUUUCAUCUAUAGAAUAAAAGCGGUCUGUGAUUUGAAAAGCAUCUUAUUAACUUUAUUAUCUCUUCAUCCAAGAGAAAUGUGGACAAGAACAGACUCCAGGUCUACCAUCUAGGGGGCAGUGUGUGCUAGGGGCUGACUUGUCCUCCUCACCCCACCCCCCAGUUCCUUAUGUUGAGGUCCUAUCCCCAGUACCUCAGAAUGUGACUGGAUCUGGAGAUGUCUUUAAAGAGGUGAAGUUAAAAUGAGGUCUUUAGGAUGGGCCCUAGUCCAGUCUGCCUGGGUUACGGCCCAUCCUAAUCCUCCUUAUGAGAGAGAUUAGGACACAGGGAGAGGAUGGCCAUCUGUAGGCCACGGAGAGAGGCCUCAGGAGAAACCAAACCUGCCUACACCUUGAUCUUGGACUUCUAGCCUCCAGAACUGUGAGAAAUAAAUUUCUGUUCAAGCCACCCAGUCUGUGGUACUUUGUUAUGGCGGCCCGAGCAAACUAAUUCAGUGUGUUUCCAGAAUGACACAAAACUCUUGGUUUCUGGAGCCCAGAGGGUGCAGGCUUCUCCAUACAGUUCUCAGAAUUUCUCUGAGGGUCCCAGGGGGUCUUUAGGGUCUGGAUAUCCAGGAGCUUCCUGGAAAAAAUCAAAAGGGGGGAAAGGCUUCCUCCAGUCUAAUUGUUAAAAGUUUCAUUUUCAGUGACUCUGAUACAAAAUUUUGAAAAUGAAAGUUAACAAAAGUCACAUAUUAGGUCCUCCCUGGGGAAUUAAACUAACCCAGGUUCAAACAACAGCUCGGCCAAUACUAAUUAUGACCCUGGGGACCCUCAGAGUCUGGGCCUCAGUCGCCUGUCACUCAUGUUUCCAUUCCACGUUGACUGAGCAUGUGUGACGUCCUUGGCACUGUGCCAGGUAGGCGCUAGGGCUGAACAGGAACGUCACAGCCCUGCCCCCAAGCUACUGACAUUCUCAUGGGGAGGGGAGGUUGGACAAGCACAACUUCCCCAGGGAAUGACACCUGCUGAGAAGAGGGUUACAUUUUCGGAACCCGAAGUUGAGAUUUCUGUGGACCCACGUUCUCCGACAGAUCAUUCUAGAAUGAUGAAGUGUUCUUCAUCCGUGCCGUCCAAUAUGGUAGGCAUGAGCCACAUAUGGCUACUGAGCCCUUGAAAUGCAGCUAGUUGACUGAAUUUUAAUUAACUUUAAUAGUUCCAUGUGACUAGUGGCGAUGGCGUUGGAGAGCACAGCUGUCGGCCAACCAGAAGGAGAUGCUUGGCAGGCAGGUAGAUAACACCUGCGGAGCGAAUGGGAGACCUGAGGACUGUGGAGACACCAAGCAUAAAGGUGUGGGCAUUCCCUGGCGGUCCAGUGGUUAAGACUCGUGCUUCCACUGCAGGGGUGGGGGCUUCAUCCCUGGUCAGGGGACCAAGAGCCCACGUGCCACAUGGCACGGCCAAAGGAACAACAAAAAAAAAGCAAGCUACUGAACCAGGUAUAUAGUAUGCUACCUUUUGUGCACAAAGAGUGGGAAAUUACAAAUACAUUUUUAUUUUUGCAUAAAGAAAUACUGGAAAGAUACACUGGAAACUAAAAGUGGUCAACUAUAAGAGUACAGGGCAAGGGAAACAAGAGGGGGAGAGAUAUGGGCGGAGGCUUUAAUUGUAUAAUCUUAAAAAGUGUUUUAAAUAAUAUGAAAUUAUUACUAUUU